rnacentral:rRNA from 1 species
UAGUGGUGGGGAUAACGUUCGAAACGGACGCUAAUACCGCAUACGUCCUACGGGAGAAAGCGGGGGAUCUUCGGACCUCGCGCCAUUAGAUGAGCCUAGGUCGGAUUAGCUAGUUGGUGAGGUAAUGGCUCACCAAGGCGACGAUCCGUAACUGGUCUGAGAGGAUGAUCAGUCACACUGGAACUGAGACACGGUCCAGACUCCUACGGGAGGCAGCAGUGGGGAAUAUUGGACAAUGGGCGAAAGCCUGAUCCAGCCAUGCCGCGUGUGUGAAGAAGGUCUUCGGAUUGUAAAGCACUUUAAGUUGGGAGGAAGGGUAGUAACCUAAUACGUUGCUACUUUGACGUUACCGACAGAAUAAGCACCGGCUAACUUCGUG